AAUAUUGGACAAUGGGGGCAACCCUGAUCCAGCCAUGCCUCGUGUGUGAAGAAGGUCUUCGGAUUGUAAAGCACUUUAAGUAAGGAGGAGGGGCUUGAGGCUAAUACCCUGAAAUUAUGACGUCACCAACAGAAUAAACCCAGGCUAACUCUGUGCUAGCAGCCGCGGUAAGACAGCGGGCGCAAGCGUUAAUCGGAAUUACUGGGCGUAAAGCGCGCGUAGGUGGUUCAGUAAGAUGGGUGUGACAGCCCCGGGCUUAACCUGGGAACUGCUUUCAUAACUGCUGAGCUAGAGUACGGUAGAGGGUAGUGGAAUUUCCUGUGUAGCGGUGAAAUGCGUAGAUAUAGGAAGGAACACCAGUGGCGAAGGCGACUACCUGGACUGAUACUGACACUGAGGUGCGAAAGCGUGGGGAGCAA
rnacentral:rRNA from 1 species